ensembl:lncRNA
CUGCAAAGCUCGUCCUUAAACCAUUCAGUUCAAGUGGAAUCUUCUGAGUGACACAAUGAGGGAAAAUUAUGGUUUCAACCAAACAACCGUUAACAACCCAGAACAACCGCUUAGCAUUUGCUAACAGUUGAUGACAUGGCUUGUCGUGAAAAUGACUACCUGGGCCUUCAAGAACAACUUAAGGUCUGCAAUCUGAAGGUGAUGCACAGCCAGGCUAUGUGGUCAAGGCUCCCAAACACCAGCACUGCAAAUCUUCAAAAUAGCCAAGGCUGAUAUUUUAAGGGGCUGAUAUUUCAGCACCUCAUCAGCGAAGGCCAGCUCCAUGAAGAGGUCAAAUGAUUUGCACACAAACAUAUGUACAGAGUUUCCUUUUAUUUUCACAGACUGAGUUUUUUAUGUAUGUUAUUCUCAGUCCAAACAGAUAUCAAAAUUACAAUCACAUUCUCAGCAGAAAGAGAAAAAGCGCCCUAAAAUGUGCUGCCCCAC